UAGCACCUGGGGUGUUCGACAAUGGGUUACGUCCCUGAGCCGAUACUGAUAUAUUUUAGAGUUGGUUACCUACAAUCGGUGAGCAUGCUUGUUUAUCAAGAAGCCUAAUGAAUGUAAGACUGACUCCCUUGAACCGUAGGGUUCAAGGACCGACCACCCGUAUCGGCACCUCGGGUCCUCA
rnacentral:other from 1 species